rnacentral:misc_RNA from 1 species
CCUGCAACAAACAUCAUG